CUCCCCUACUCUGUCUCUUCCCUCCCAGGCCCCACCCACUGCUCACACAGAGGAAGAGGAAGUAGAGAUGAGCAAACAGGGGGUGAGGAGGAAAGGCCUGAGCAGUGAGUGGGGCCUCGGAGGGAAGAGCACACAUCUGAACUUCAG